rnacentral:misc_RNA from 1 species
CGAGCAUGCGCAGCGGCAUC